AGACUGUGAUGUGGUCAUUUUCGUUGUAACUCCCUAAAUUGCUCCCAUGCUUCAUACAAAGAUUCUCCCUCUUACGGACAAAAACUAAUUAUAUUUAUUCUUAACUU